GACACCUGACAGCAGUGCGUGUCUUAAUUAUGAAGCUCGUGUCGGAUUGUUUGAAAGGCUGCAGCUUUCACAGGAAACGGCUUUGACAGCGCUUCAGCGCCGGUGCAUUCAAAGACAGUCCGUCGUCUUUGGAUGCAGAUCGACGUUUGCCUGACGGAAACCGGUGCAUUCACAAUCUUUGGAUGGAAACUGUGUUUUCAUUUUGUACAGGCUCACCCACCUCCACGCCGAUCUCGAAGCCUCCUCCCAGACCAGCGAUGCCGAUGGCGGACGGUGCGGACCAACCUCAACGCACAACAACACACACAGCAAGGGGAAAAAGACAUUAAGGGAUUAAGGGUUUAGUUUGGAGAUGACACACUUUUUACCACCAGACCAUCGGGCUUCCCAGCUCACAUAUCCACAUAUUCCACUUCCCUGCUUGUCUGCCCGGUUCAAGGAAAAAAAAAAGGGUUUUGGCCCGACGACGAACUCUGACACCCACCGUCAGAACGCCACAGCCGCCAACGCCGGACCACUUGAUCAACGUCCGUAAGCAAACACACAACCCAUCAGAUGACUGCUGCUGAUGAGGAGGAUGCAGGGAGAUCUGAGGGAGUGUGUCUGCUUGUUACCGAGAAAACGAAAAAUGUCACAAAGCGUCCCGAAAAACAAAAAACAAAACCACAGCAAAAAAGUCACUGGGGACUCACGAGGAUCCAGAGAAACACGAAGGAAAGACACCGAAUCUCUACCAGAUACCGAGCUCUGGCCUCACUGUGCAGAGGCACGGCAGCAGCUUUUUAUCAAAGUGUUUCUGCACGGGAACACGCGAGGAAGGGCGAAAACAGGACCGGAGAGUCGGCAGAGAGAGGGUCAGCGGCCGAGGUCUUACGUCUGUCGGCCAGUCUGGCGAUGACGAUGCCGCUGCCUCCUCUGGCUGUGAUCAUGAAGCCCGCCUUGAUGACAGAGAUGAUGGCCAGACCCUCGGCCUUCGCUAUCACAUGAGCUACAACGCACACACACAAAAAAAAACAAAAAAAACCACUCAGUUCACCAAAGACACAUUUCAAUAAACAUUUGACACAGUUUUAAGCCUGUUUUCACGUCAUGUCGCAUCCUUUUCUUUCCUGCCUUCUUUUACCUUCACUUUGGGAAACAGCUCUCCCAAAAAUGUCGAAGUAUUCCUUAAAGAUUUUACUGAUCCCAUUUAAAUCACUUCAUCUGCCUUCUCCUGGUUGUAUUACUGAAUUUUUGGUCCUGUGAGAGUCAGCCCCUCAGACAGGGCUUUUCUGGCCGUUCCUAAAUCCUGGUUCAGGACUAAAAGGGACCUGGUUUUUGCAGUCAGGGCCCCUUUAGCGCUGGAGCUCCCUGUUUGAAGACCUGAGACUGAAACACCAGUUGUUAUUUAACUGAAUUGUUUUAAUCUUGAUUUGCUCAUGUGAAGCAGUUUCUUUUAGCUUUGUUUUAAA